rnacentral:rRNA from 1 species
UGCUUCGCUGACGAGUGGCGGACGGGUGAGUAAUGUCUGGGAAACUGCCUGAUGGAGGGGGAUAACUACUGGAAACGGUAGCUAAUACCGCAUAACGUCGCAAGACCAAAGAGGGGGACCUUCGGGCCUCUUGCCAUCGGAUGUGCCCAGAUGGGAUUAGCUAGUUGGUGGGGUAACGGCUCACCUAGGCGACGAUCCCUAGCUGGUCUGAGAGGAUGACCAGCCACACUGGAACUGAGACACGGUCCAGACUCCUACGGGAGGCAGCAGUGGGGAAUAUUGCACAAUGGGCGCAAGCCUGAUGCAGCCAUGCCGCGUGUAUGAAGAAGGCCUUCGGGUUGUAAAGUACUUUCAGCGGGGAGGAAGGGAGUAAAGUUAAUACCUUUGCUCAUUGACGUUACCCGCAGAAGAAGCACCGGCUAACUCCGUGCCAGCAGCCGCGGUAAUACGGAGGGUGCAAGCGUUAAUCGGAAUUACUGGGCGUAAAGCGCACGCAGGCGGUUUGUUAAGUCAGAUGUGAAAUCCCCGGGCUCAACCUGGGAACUGCAUCUGAUACUGGCAAGCUUGAGUCUCGUAGAGGGGGGUAGAAUUCCAGGUGUAUCGGUGAAAUGCGUAGAGAUCUGGAGGAAUACCGGUGGGCAAAGGCGGCCCCCUGGACAAAGACU